rnacentral:lncRNA from 1 species
AUGCCCUCUUGUUCCCUCAGACACGAAGAGCUCACCCUCAGCAGCACAGAUUGUAAACUGGUCAGCCAACCAUAUUUGAUAUCUCCCAUCGGAAGCAGGGGCAUGAAGAAUAUGGAAGUGGAGGCAAAGUUGGAAACAGAAUCCAGGCCUGUGCAAUCCAGUAUCCUUUGUUCUUGCAAGCAGAGGAUCCAGAAGCAGCUGUUAGCGGGAGCUCACAAGGGCUUGGGGGCAUCUUUGCUGGGUGGACCUUGUGUCUAUUACACUUUUUCAAAAGGUAACCAUUGGACUACUUGUUAGAAGUAACAGGAAUUCUAUUAAAAUAUAGGUUCCUAGCCUGGGCAGCAGAGUGAGACCCUGUCUCUACAAAAAAAUUAAAAAAUUAGCCAGGCAUCGUAGUACUCACCUGUAGUCCGAGCCCCUUGGGAGGCUGAGGCAGGAAGAUUACUUGACUCUGGGGUGGUGGCUACAGUGAGCUGAGGUUGCACCACUGCACGCCAGCCUGGAGGUUCCUUAGAUCCACGGCAGACCUACAUAAUCAGAACUAACAAGUUAUCUGGAUGAUUCAUUUUUAAAAAAUCUUUUAUUAAAGUAUAAUUUACAUGGAGUGAAACUGGUGUAUAGUUAGGAAUGCAUACAAUUAAGUAACCACUCCAGAAAGAUGCAGAAUAGUUUCAUUACCCCCAAAGUAUCUGGUAAUUCUUAAGUACAUUAUAGUUUGAAAACCACUCAUCUUAAGAAAAAAAAAAUUGAAGUAGCUAAAAUAAAAGGGGAAAAAGAAUUGUUUUGAAUUACUUCCUCUGUUCAAAAAGGUUUAGACCUGGCAUAGCAUGUGAGUUUCAUCUCAUCAGUCGGCUCAGAAUGACUGCUGGCUGCCUGGAGGGGAGGCCUAUGUAGAGAAUCCAGAGACUCCUCUGGGUUCAGCCAAAUAAUUUAUCAGUGAUUUUGAGGUUGGGGCAGGGUUGCUGGAAAAGUGUGCCAUCCCUGACUAGAUGUUAAACAUAUGUUUCAAAAUGUCACUGAUACUGCGGUGCUGGGAAGGGAAGAGGUGGUCCCUUUAAAUUAUAUGAAAGGGGGGAAAGGAAGUGCUGGAUAGAGGAGGUCAUGGUCCCUGGCUGGGGCUCCACCCUCACGGAUCUAGGUGAGGACAGCAUUUCCUGCCCAAAUACCACAUCCCCAUCCUGUGCCUAUAACUCACUCACCCCUCAUCCCCUAGACCCUAGUAGACAGACACAGGCAGCUGGAUGUUGAGAGGAACACUGACAGACACCAGCAUACUGGCAGGCCAUGGACCUGCAGAACCAGAACCAUGUGGGUGGGACAGUCAGAGGAGAGCCGGGGCUGCCAAGUGGCCAACUCCAGAGGACAACCAUCUCCCUUCUGGCUCCCCCAUCUGCUGAGAGCUACUUCUACUCAAUAAAACUUUGCACUCAUUCUCCAAUCCCACAUGUGAUCUGAUGAUUCUUCCAGUACACUAAGGCAAGAACCUCAGGAUACAGAAAGCCCUCUGUCCUUACAGUAAGUCAGAGGUCUCAUUGAGCUGACUAACACAAGCCGCCUAUAGAUGGCUAAACUAAAAGAGCAAAACUAAAAGCACACUCUGUAACAUACACCCACUGGGGCUUCAGCUGUAAACAUCCACCCCUAGACACUGCCUUGGGGUCGGAUUCUUAUAGCCUGCCCAUCUGUAUGCUCCCCUAGAAGUCGGAGAUUUAAGCAGUGGGGCACUAAGAAGCAAGCCACUCUCCCCAUCACACGCCCUGCAAGGGGGACAAGGCAACUUUUCCUGUUUCAUCAUGAAAUAUGGAUUUAGCGGCUGUGCACAGUGGCUCACGCCUAUAAUCCUAGCACUUUGGGAGGCUGAGGCGGGAAGAUCACCUGAGGUCGGGCCUGACCAACAUGGAAAAAUUCUGUCUCUGCUAAAACAACAAAAUUAGCUGGGCAUGGUGGUGCAUGCCUGUAAUCCUAGCUACUCAGGAGGCUGAAGCAGGAGAAUCGCUUGAACCUGGGAGGCAGAGGUUGCAGUGAGCCAAGAUUGUGCCAUGGCAUUCCAGCCUGGACAACAAGAGCGAAACUCCGUCUCAAAAAGAAAAAAAAAAAAUACGGAUAUAGAACUUCUGGAUCAUGACUGACUAGGUCUAUGUGAAAAGAACCGUCUCACCUUGUAUGUACCCGAGAGUUGGUGUCAUUACUUAGAAAUUUCUCCUCCCUACAGUUAAUGACAUCUCGGAGGAACUUAGAAACAGGAAGCGACUCAGGAUUGGGAAGCACCAGGAAAAGGGCUGCUGACAUGACACGGUGACAAGCAUUCUUUGUCAAUUGACUUUUUCUCCCGCCCCCUCGAUCCUGAGGAAAUGGCACAGCAUUUCCUUGCCCUGCCCUUGACACACUACGCCUUCUCUAAACUAGAUUAGGGGCUUGUGAGAGAAAAACCUAAGGAAGCCCCCUGCUUGUGCCUGGAGGAAAGAACUGACGAGUUGGUCUUUACCCUCAGCCAAACUGCCACAAGUAUCCUUGUCUGCCUGGCUCUCCUGGGGCCAUCACAGAGGGCCGGCGAUGCUGACAGCCUUAAAUUCCAGGCAAGGCAGAACCAAGCAGCUGUUCAUAAGCGAUUUCCGUGCAUGUCCAGUGACCCGAAUGGGACCUGACCAUGGGGAAAAUGAUACAGAACUAGAUAGCUUUCUCUAAAUUUUAUUUUUAGUUUGUGUACUCCUGUGGAAGUGUAAUUUUAUCUUUGUGCUGGGAACACUGAAAAACACUGACAGGGAGCUCCUUUGGCCUGGCCCAUUUUUCCGAAAGCGUGUUGCAGCUGUGGCUUCUGCCCAGCAGGCAGAGGCUGAUGUUAGAUCCUGUACCCAGCUGCUGCUGGGAGAAAGGACAGCCUCAGCCCCUGACUGCAGGGGGUCUGCAGGAAGAUUGGGGAACCUGAAGACACGUUUAACUACAAAAGUCCUGGAAACACUAAGUGCAAAUUGUCCAUGGACUGUUGACUUCGCAUUCAAACAACCGGGAAGCGAUCGAGACCAGAAGCCUCAACAAGGAUCUCAGGGUCUGGGCCAGUCCAAUCAGAGACCAGCUAGUGCUCAUGCUGUGAAGUGCUGGAGGUCUGCUCUGGGGAGGGGGCUUUGGCCUAGAAGAGACAUGGUAUAGGGUGGGGACUGUUAUAAUCAUGCAACACUUCACAACAGGUGAUUCUGUCAUUGUGCAAAUAUCACAGAGGGAACUCACAUAAACCGAGACAGCAUAGCCUGCUGCACACAUAGGCUCUGUGGUGUAGCCAAUUGCUCCUAGACUACAGACCCAUAGAGCACAUUUCUAUACUGAAUGCUGUAGACAAUGUAACACAGUGGUAUUUGUAUAUCGGACAUAUCUAAACAAAAGCUACAGUAAAAGAUAAAAUAUAUACAGUAUAAAAAAUUUUUUUUUGAGAUGGAGUCUUGCACUGUUGCCUGGGCUGGAGUACAGUGGCCCGAUCUCAGCUCAUUGCAGCCUCUGCCUCCUGGGUUCAAGCGAUUCUCCUGCCUCAGCCUCUCGAUUAGCUGGGAUUACAGGCACCUGCCACCAUGCCCGGCUAAUUUUUGUAUUUUUAGUAGAGAUGGGGUUUCACCAUCUUGGCCACGCUGGUCUUGAAAUCCUGAUCUCAUGAUCCACCCACCUUAGCUUCCCAAAGUGCUGGGAUUAUAGGCAUGAGCCACUGCACCUGGCCAGUAUAAAACAUUUUUUAAAAACGCUGGGCAUGGUGGCACACUCCUAUAAUCCCAGCACUUUGGGAGGCCCAAGGCAGGAGGAUCACUUGAUCCCAGGACUUUGAGACUAGCCUGGGUAACAUGGCAAAUCCCCAUCUUGACAAAAAAUACAAAAAUUAGCCCGGUGUGGUGGCAGGCGCCUCUAAUCCCAGCUACUCAGGAGGCCGAGGCACGAGAAUCACUUGAACCUGGGAGGCAGAGGUUGCAGUGAGCCGAGAUGUCCCCACUUCACCCCAGCCUAGGCGACAGAGCAAGAUUCUAUCUCAAACAAAAAAGAAAAUAAAAUGUGGUCCAUCCGUACAAUAGAAAGCUAUUCAGCCUUGAAAGAAGGAAAUCCUGACAUCUGCUACAACAGGAAUGAGACUUGAGGACAUUAUGCCGAGUGGAUUAAGCCAGCCACAAAAAGACAGAUACUGUGUGACUCCGCUUAAGAACAGUCAAAAUCAUACAAUGCAGAGUGGUGGUUGCCAGGUACUGGAGGGCAUGGGGAAUAGGCAGCUGUCAAUGGGUGUGGAGUUUUAGUUUUGUAAGAUUAAAAAUUUCUGGAGAUCUGCUACACAACCAUUGCAUAUAGGUACGCCACUGAAUUGUACUAUUUUUGUUUGUUUUUGAGACAGAGUCUCGCUCUUUCACCCAGGCUGGAGUGCAGUGGCACUAUCUUGGCUCACUGCAACCUCCGCCUCCCGGGUUCAAGCGAUUCUCCCUGCCUUAGCCUCCCAAGUAGCUGGGAUAAGAGGCAUCUGCCACAAUGCCCGGCUAAUUUUUUUUUUUGAGACGGAGUAUCGCUCUUGUUACCCAGGCUGGAGUGCAAUGGCGAGAUCUCGGCUCACCGCAACCUCCGCCUCCUGGGUUCAGGCAAUCCUCCUGCCUCAGUCUCCUGAGUAGCUGAGAUUACAGGCAUGCGCCACCAUGCCCAGCUAAUUUUUUGUAUUUUUAGUAGAGACGGGGUUUCACCUUGUUGACC